rnacentral:lncRNA from 1 species
CUGGGGAGAAACUUUACAGUUAUAGUCAAUGUAGGAAAGGCUUUAUUGAUAGUUAAUCUCUUUUUCAGCGUAUGAGAACUCAUACGGGAGAGAAGCCCUAUGAAGGCAAUCAGUGGGAAGAAGCCGUCAAAUGCAGCUCAGCUUUCUUGCAGCAUGACGGAACCGAUCUAGGAAGGAAAACCUGUGAUUGUAAAGAAUGUGGUAAAGCAACAAGAAGCAAGACCUCCCAGCUCAUUCUGUAUCAAAAAACUGAUACUGGGGAAAACCCUGUGAAUGUACUGAACACGGGAAGGCUUUUAGUAUACAUGGUUUGCACACGUUUGGAAGAAAAUUAACCGAUGGGAGUGUUGUCAUCACUAAGGAAGGCUGAGAAGUGUGAGACAAGUUGGUGAGGAAACCCCCAAACUGUGGCAAUAUUAGGAGAUGGAAAUCCAAGCCUCAUUUGGGUAUGGAAAUAGUCACAUCCUGGUGCCAACCUGGGAGUGACCAAGCAACCUCAGAUAGAUCCUGGGAAAAGCAAGAAUGAUGUAAAAAGAAGAAACACAUGACAGGACUUGGAUUUAGAAUAGAGCUGUCAAUCAAAGCAUGUGCUUGCUGAAACUCCUAGAUACUGCUGUUCUUCUGCCCAACCUCUGCACUCAUUGGUCAGUCAGUAUAACUAAUAAUAACACUGAACACUUACAUAGUUGUCAGCC